rnacentral:rRNA from 1 species
GAUGAACGCUGGCGGCGUGCUUAACACAUGCAAGUCGAACGGAAAGACCCAAGCUUGCUUGGGUACUCGAGUGGCGAACGGGUGAGUAACACGUGGGUGAUCUGCCCUGCACUUCGUGAUAAGCCUGGGAAACUGGGUCUAAUACCGGAUAGGACGAUGGUUUGGAUGCGAUUGUGGACAGUUUUUUCGGUGUGGGAUGAGCUCGCGGCCUAUCAGCUUGUUUGUGGCGUAAUGGCCUAACAAGGCGUCGACGUGUAGCCGGCAUGAGAGAGUGUACUGCCACAUUAGGACUGAGAGAGAGGCAAGAGUCCUACAGGAGGCAGCAGGGGCGAAUAUUGGACAAUGCGAGCAAGCCUGAUGCAGCAAGGCCGCGUGAGGGAUGACGGCCUUAGGGUUGUAGAAACCUUUCGAUAGGGACGAAGCGUUUUUGUGACGGUACCUGGAGAAGAAGCACCGGCUAACUACGUG